rnacentral:tRNA from 1 species
GACCGCAUAGCUCAGUUGGCAGAGCAUUGGGCUAGCAUUCCAAAGGUCGUAGGUUCAAUUCCCACCGUGGCCA